GGAGGCUGGAGAAAGUUGGAUUCUUCUUGAAGAAGGCUUUGGAGACACAGGUCCUGGCCCCGCCCCUUCCUCCCAAAGUGUGAAAGUCGGGGGGGGGGGUUGAUUCUUUUCUUCCUUCGCCCCCACCCCCAAGAUCUUGGAUCCGCAGUUUCAAGCCAGUUGAGGAAUCCGAGGCUCACUCUGUGUGCACUGUACAAUCCAGUGCCUGGAUCCGGCUUUACUUCGCCCCUUUGGAUAGCAUUCGCCUGGGCAGAGACUUGGUCACCCCUGCGAGCUCGGCGCCUCUGGCCUACAGCUUCUCUGGCCUCUUCGCUCCUGCCUCGGGCUGACCCGAGGAGUGAGAUGUCCUGAGCCCCUGUGCAGAUCGGGAGUGACGAGAAAUGUCAGAACCCAGGCAAGGAUCCAUUCAUCCUGGGGGCACACGCGAUUCGCGGCCCCAUUCCUAAGAGGCCAGGGGCAGAGGAGACUGGAGGAGUUGGUGGUGCACACGCUUGGUGCAAUGAGCUUGGGGACGGGUGCGACACAGACAAGUUGGACCGUGUUCGUAGUGUAGCAUUGUGGGCAAUGGGAAAGACAACCUCCCGCGGCAGAGUUUGGAGCACGGCUGAGAGCAAUCCGGAGAUGAAAAAAAAUACACCAUCCCCCUAGAAUAAUAAUAAUCCAAUUGCUGCAGGUCCCUGUAGAGCCUCGGAGGCAGAACUCCGCCUUUCUUGUAAACGUCUGUGCCUGGUUUCGCGGAAAGAAGGCGCUUCUCCUCUGACCCAGUGAAUGAGAUGCUCCAGCUGUCCCCUCUGCUCCUAGGUGGUGGAGCAAACGUCUUACUUCUGUUCA